UUUUUGUUUGAUCCAUCCAAUAGUAUGGCUCUCUCUCUUUCUUCUUUGUUUCCUAUAAUAUAUGUUUCUGUUAGCGUUGUUCGGUUGAUGUGGUUCACAACACUGCUGCUUCUGCUGCUGCAGCUAGUUAGGCAUUUUAGCUUUGCAGAUAAGGCGCAGAAAGUUUGUAUAGCUGUAAUAAAAAGGGGUAAAUAAUUUUCACUAUUGCUACUGUGUCUCAUUUAUUGAUAAUUGAUGAAUAGUUAUCUUCCUCUCUGCACUUUCCUUUAUUAUUAUGUAUAUUAGUUUAUUGAGUAUUAUAUUUUCUUGUCUUCUUUUGUUCAGCUGCAGCCGCUUUUCUUGUCUGGAUUAGCACUGCAUAUAAACGUGUUUUAGGUAAAUAAAAAGUGGGUUUUCUCCAUUUUCUCAAGGGCAAAAGCUUAAAAGAGUAAGUAGCCUAAUUAUGAUGUUUUUCCCCCCUC
rnacentral:lncRNA from 1 species